UGGGGGAUAUUGCGCAAUGGGGGCAACCCUGACGCAGCAACGCCGCGUGAAGGAUGAAGGUUUUCGGAUUGUAAACUUCUUUUAUCAGGGACGAACUCUGACGGUACCUGAUGAAUAAGCUCCGGCUAACUACGUGCCAGCAGCCGCGGUAAUACGUAGGGAGCAAGCGUUGUCCGGAUUUACUGGGUGUAAAGGGUGCGUAGGCGGCUUUUUAAGUCAGAUGUGAAAUCUAUGGGCUCAACCCAUAAACUGCAUUUGAAACUAGAGAGCUUGAGUGAAGUAGAGGCAGGCGGAAUUCCCUGUGUAGCGGUGAAAUGCGUAGAGAUAGGGAGGAACACCAGUGGCGAAGGCGGCCUGCUGGGCUUUAACUGACGCUGAGGCACGAAAGCGUGGGUAGCAAACAGG
rnacentral:rRNA from 2 species